rnacentral:rRNA from 1 species
UAACACAUGCAAGUCGAGCGAAGCACUAAGACGGAUUCUUCGGAUUGAAGUCUUUGUGACUGAGCGGCGGACGGGUGAGUAACGCGUGGGUAACCUGCCUCAUACAGGGGGAUAACAGUUAGAAAUGACUGCUAAUACCGCAUAAGCGCACAGGACCGCAUGGUCUGGUGUGAAAAACUCCGGUGGUAUGAGAUGGACCCGCGUCUGAUUAGCUAGUUGGAGGGGUAACGGCCCACCAAGGCGACGAUCAGUAGCCGGCCUGAGAGGGUGAACGGCCACAUUGGGACUGAGACACGGCCCAGACUCCUACGGGAGGCAGCAGUGGGGAAUAUUGCACAAUGGGGGGAACCCUGAUGCAGCGACGCCGCGUGAAGGAAGAAGUAUCUCGGUAUGUAAACUUCUAUCAGCAGGGAAGAAAAUGACGGUACCUGACUAAGAAGCCCCGGCUAACUACGUGCCAUCAGCCGCGGUAAUACGUAGGGGGCAAGCGUUAUCCGGAUUUACUGGGUGUAAAGGGAGCGUAGACGGAAGAGCAAGUCUGAUGUGAAAGGCUGGGGCUUAACCCCAGGACUGCAUUGGAAACUGUUGUUCUAGAGUGCCGGAGAGGUAAGCGGAAUUCCUAGUGUAGCGGUGAAAUGCGUAGAUAUUAGGAGGAACACCAGUGGCGAAGGCGGCUUACUGGACGGUA